rnacentral:rRNA from 1 species
UGGUGGGUUGCCUUGUCAGGUUGAUUCCGGUAACGAACGAGACCUCAGCCUGCUAAAUAGUCACGAUUGGCUCGCCAGUCGGCGGACUUCUUAGAGGGACUAUUGGCGACUAGCCAAUGGAAGCAUGAGGCAAUAACA